rnacentral:rRNA from 1 species
GGCCUUUUGAAUUUAAUAUAAGGUCUGACCUGCCCAGUGAUAGUUUUAACGGCCGCGGUAUACUGACCGUGCAAAGGUAGCAUAAUCAUUAGUCUUUUAAUAGAGGGCUGGAAUGAAAGGUUUCACGAGGAACUGACUGUCUCAUUUUAUUUGUUUUAAAAUUUAAUUUUUUAGUUAAAAAGCUAAAAUUUUAUUGGUAGACGAGAAGACCCUAUAGAGCUUUACAUAUAAUUAAAUAAAUAUUUUUAUAUUAAUAUUUUUAUUUAUUUUUGUGUUUUGUUGGGGUGACAAAAAUAUAUAACUAACUUUUUUAUUUACUUUACAUUAAUUUAUGAAUAUUAGAUCCAAUACUAUUGAUUAUUAGACUAAGUUACCUUAGGGAUAACAGCGUAAUCCUCCUCCAGAGUUCAUAUUUACAGGAUGGGCUUGCGACCUCGAUGUUGGAUUAAGAUAAUAAUUAGGUGUAGCGGCUUAAUUGAUAGGUCUGUUCGACCUUUAAAUUCUU